GGGGAAUAUUGGACAAUGGGGGAAACCCUGAUCCAGCGACGCCGCGUGAGUGAAGAAGUAUUUCGGUAUGUAAAGCUCUAUCAGCAGGGAAGAAAAUGACGGUACCUGACUAAGAAGCCCCGGCUAACUACGUGCCAGCAGCCGCGGUAAUACGUAGGGGGCAAGCGUUAUCCGGAUUUACUGGGUGUAAAGGGAGCGUAGACGGCACUGCAAGUCUGGAGUGAAAGCCCGGGGCUCAACCCCGGGACUGCUUUGGAAACUGUGGUGCUAGAGUAUCGGAGAGGAAAGCGGAAUUCCUAGUGUAGCGGUGAAAUGCGUAGAUAUUAGGAGGAACACCAGUGGCGAAAGCGGCUUUCUGGACGACAACUGACGCUGAGGCGCGAAAGCCAGGGGAGCAAACG
rnacentral:rRNA from 1 species